GCUGCUGCAAUUGUAGUCCUGCUCAGUACUAGAGACACCACAGGUUCAGACAUUUGGUUGUCUGUGCUUGGCUGAGGAGUCAGUGGUGCGAAGCCCCCAUCGGUGGGGAAGAUGACAGAACGCCUCAGACUCAGAAUGACCCUUAAGUGGUACCCUGCAGC
rnacentral:ncRNA from 1 species